GACGAACGCUGGCGGCGUGCUUAAUACAUGCAAGUCGAACGGAAAGGCCCUGCUCUUGCGGGGCGCUCGAGUGGCGCACGGGUGAGUAAAACGCGUGUAUAACGUACCUGUCUUUGGGAUAACUCUAGGGAAAUGGGGAUCUUAUCGGAUAGGAGAUCUUGAAGCGUGGUGGGGGUUGGUAAGUGUCGGCGGUUGGGGAUCGACUAGCGGGUUCUCAGCUUGAUGGUGGGGUUGUGGAGUACAAAGGCUAUGAAGGGUAGCAGGCCUGAGAGGGUGACCGGCCACAUUGCGCCUGCGAUACGGCGCAGUCUCCUACGGGAGGCAGCAGGGGAGAAUAUUGCACAAUGGGCGGAAGCCUGAUACAGCAGCCCCGCGUGCGUGAUGACCUCCUUCGGGUUGUGAACCGCUUUCGCCUUAGACGUAGCGUUAUUGACGGUAAUGGGUAAGAAAGCACCGGCUAACUACGUG
rnacentral:rRNA from 1 species